CCGGCACGGGUGAGUAACGCGUAUGCAACUUGCCUAUCAGGAGGGGAGAACCGGCGAAAGUCGGACUAAUACCGCAUGAAGCAGGGAUCCCGCAUGGGAAUAUUUGCUAAAGAUUCAUCGCUGAUAGAUAGGCAUGCGUUCCAUUAGGCAGUUGGCGGGGUAACGGCCCACCAAACCGACGAUGGAUAGGGGUUCUGAGAGGAAGGUCCCCCACAUUGGUACUGAGACACGGACCAA
rnacentral:rRNA from 1 species